GGGGAUGACAGGCAUAGACAAUCGCCGGUUUUCGUUCGUGCGGCGGAAGCAGUAUCGACUUCCAAAUCCGAUGCAAACCCAUAAAUGCCAAAACCGUUUCUCCGUAUUUCGGAGUGAAUGAUUUCGCAUUCGUCCGCGUUUGACGCGGGCCGUCACCUUGUCGGGAUCCAUACGAUAAGGCAGGCGCAAUCACCGGGAUGUAGGAUCUUGAAGCUUCUCACUUCAUUGUCCGAAACUUAGAGAUCGCGUCCGCGCGUUUUGUUUCCUUUCCCGAACGCGGCCGCCAAAGUGCCGCAAGGCACCGAAAGGAUUCCAUCGCCGUAGAAUCGCUCGAUAGACCUCGAUUGCACCCGGGUUCGAAUCCCGGCAUCUCCACCA
rnacentral:tmRNA from 1 species